rnacentral:rRNA from 1 species
GACGAACGCUGGCGGCGUGCUUAACACAUGCAAGUCGAACGAAGUGGCGAACGGGUGAGUAACGCGUAAUCAACCUGCCCUUCAGAGGGGGACACCAGUUGGAAACGACUGCUAAUACCCCAUACUGAUGGAGGGGUUUGCGUGUGAUUAGCUAGUUGGAGGGGUAACGGCCCACCAAGGCGAAGGUCAGUAGCCUGUCUGAGGGGAUGAACGGCCACAAUGGGACUGAGACACCGCCCAGACUCCUACGGGGAGCAGCAGUGGGGAAUCUUCCGCAAUGGACGAAAGUCUGACGGAGCAACGCCGGGUGGGUGAUGGCGGCCUUCGGGUUGGAAAGCUCUGUUAAUCGGGACGCGGUACCGGAAUAGAAAGCCACGGCUAACUACGUGCCAGCAGCCGCGGUAAUAC